AGUGAACGCUGGCGGUAGGCCUAACACAUGCAAGUCGAACGGCAGCACAGUAAGAGCUUGCUCUUACGGGUGGCGAGUGGCGGACGGGUGAGGAAUACAUCGGAAUCUACUUUUUCGUGGGGGAUAACGUAGGGAAACUUACGCUAAUACCGCAUACGACCUACGGGUGAAAGCAGGGGAUCUUCGGACCUUGCGCGAUUGAAUGGGCCGAUGUCGGAUUAGCUAGUUGGCGGGGUAAAGGCCCACCAAGGCGACGAUCCGUAGCUGGUCUGAGAGGAUGAGCAGCCACACUGGAACGGAGACACGGUCCAGACUCCUACGGGAGGCAGCAGUGGGGAAUAUGGGACAAUGGGCGCAAGCCUGAUCCAGCCAUACCGCGUGGGUGAAGAAGGCCUUCGGGUUGUAAAGCCCUUUUGUUGGGAAAGAAAAGCAGCAGGUUAAUACCCCGCUGUUCUGACGGUACCCAAAGAAUAAGCACCGGCUAACGUCG
rnacentral:rRNA from 1 species